UACGAGGGGGGCAAGCGUUGUUCGGAAUUACUGGGCGUAAAGGGCGCGUAGGCGGUUCGCUAAGUUGGAUGUGAAAACUCUGGGCUUAACCCAGAGCCUGCAUCCAAAACUGGCGAACUGGAGUACUGGAGGGGAGAGCGGAAUUCCUGGUGUAGCGGUGAAAUGCGUAGAUAUCAGGAGGAACACCGGUGGCGAAGGCGGCUUUCUGGACAGUAACUGACGCUGAGGCGCGAAAGCUAGGGAGCAAACAGG
rnacentral:rRNA from 1 species